rnacentral:rRNA from 1 species
CCAUCAUGGGUCAGGCUAACCCGGGAACUGGGUAUAAUUCCCGAUAGAUCUGAGAGGCUGGAACGCACUCUGAUCGAAAGCUCCGGCACCCAAGGAUGGGUCUGCGGCCUAUCAGGUUGUAGUGGGUGUAAUGUACCUACUAGCCUACUACGGGUACGGGUUGUGAGAGCAAGAGCCCGGAGAUGGAUUCUGAGACACGAAUCCAGGCCCUACGGGGUGCAGCAGGCGCGAAACCUUUACAAUGCGGGCAACCGCGAUAAGGGGACCUCGAGUGCCGGCAUACAAUGUCGGCUGUCGUGAUGCCUAAAAAGCAUUAUAUAGCAAGGGCCGGGCAAGACCGGUGCCAGCCGCCGCGGUAACACCGGCGGCUCGAGUGGUGACCGCUAUUAUUGGGUUUAAAGGGUCUGUAGCCGGCCGGAUGAGUCUCUUGGGAAAUCUGGCCGCUUAACGGUCAGGCUUUCAGGAGAUACUGUCUGGCUCAAGGCCGGGAGAGGUGAGAGGUACUUCAGGGGUAGGGGUGAAAUCUUGUAAUCCUUGGAGGACCACCAGUGGCGAAGGCGUCUCACCAAAACGGACCUGACGGCAAGGGACGAAAGCUAGGGGCACGAACCGGAUUAGAUACCCGGGUAGUCCUAGCCGUAAACGAUACUCGCUAGGUGUCGGCCGCGGUGCGACCGUGGUCGGUGCCGUAGGGAAACCGUGAAGCGAGCCACCUGGGAAGUACGGCCGCAAGGCUGAAACUUAAAGGAAUUGGCGGGGGAGCAC